UAUCUGGACGUGUUGGGCCGCCCCAUGGUUCUGGCAGGAAGAAGUGCCAAGCAGGUGCAAUGGACCAACGUCUAUCAGGACGCGCUGGGUCUGGGGCUGGUGGUGACGGGGACGAUGCCGGUGUUCAACCUCACUGUGGACGGAAACUCUCAGAAUCAGCUGAUUUUAGGGGUGAUGGGAGUCGAUGUUCAUCUGGAUGAGCUGAAGAGACUCGCGC